rnacentral:lncRNA from 14 species
CUUGGUUUAAACCACGACACCUUUCUUUCUCAAAUGCAGAAAAACCUGACAGCUGAGACCCAAAAGAUGUGAAGAGCCCCUUCCAGACAGCAGAUGGUCAGAAGGAAUGUUCUUGGCAGGAGUACAAAGAGAGGUUUCUGAGACAGGAGCCAGAAUUUAAACCUGGGAGCUGUUGCUGCUAAUCAAAUCACAACUGAAAGAAAAAUCUACCACAGGUGCCAAAGCUCCAUGAUCUCUAUCAAAAGAUUGGACAGUCACACAUCUGUGUGUAUCCGCCAUUGAUUACGGUUGUACAGCUGCACCUGUAUUUGAUUGUGGGAAUGGAAGGGUAGGUUUGGGACUGGAAUUUAUUUUUGGAACCACAGUACCAGUUUUCUGUGAGAUUAGUAUGAUUUUUAAUCAUUUGUGGUUUGCUUUUUAUUGC